AUCAAGAAAAAAUAAAUAAAGUUCAUGGAGAGAAUCGUCUUUUUUCUAACAUGAACACAAUACAGGUUUUAUAGUGAUGGUAAUCACAACUGGAAAUACCUUUAUAUUUGCUGACCACCAAAGAGCUUCUGUUUGGCAAUUAAAAUAGCAGAUUAAAAAAACAACCCAGUACACAGAUUGAGUCUAAGUUGUAACUGCACUUUUAACACCAGCGCCUUGCUCACAAUUACACCUAAUAUUCUUCCUCUACUUUCGUACUUGGAUAACAGGAUGACAUGAAGACUAAAACCUAAAACAAAGCUAGUAGCAACUGCAGUGAACUCCAGAGGCUGAACGAUCUGUCUGUAGCACGCAUACACAGGCAUCCUUGGAUUCACCUGUUCAGCAGCCGAGAACCAAAGCAGCACCGCCCGCCACGAAUUAAAACUUAAGCGGAGCGGAGCCGACGUGGGGUCGAGGCCGGAGCGGAGCCCUUCGGCCGCAGUAGCUGGGGCACGGACAGGUCUGCGGCUCGGCUCGGCCCGGCUCACCGCACGCCGCCGGGCAUCCUCCCCUCCACUGCAGCCGCAUUAUCUGAGACCCAGCAAAGCAUCCGACAGCAUCAGUGCGCCUCCAGAGCAGGACCCGGGCUACAUCCCGCAAGCGAGCACCCACAGGCUCGGGUGUAGCGCGCACACAAACGCACCUGGCAGCCCCGGGGCGAUCCUGCGGGGAAACCGCGGCGAGACCCGGCUGCCCCCUCCCUGUGCGCCCGCAGAGCGAGCGGCUCCGCGGGGCCUCCCGCCGUGGGCACAGCGGGGUUGGUACUGACCUUUCUGCUGGCGAAAGGACUGGAUGGAGCCCNCCAGCCGGUGGCUGUCCCUCCGCCCGCCCAGCCGGUGGCUGUCCCUCCGCCCGCCCAGCCGGGAAAAGGGAAUUAUGCCCGGAGAAAUCGGCGAGGAAGUCUGUGUGGACCCCGCUGAGGAGGAGCACCGGCCCCUGCCCUGUUAUCUCGGCUGUUAUGCCUAGUGCCUUCCUUCUCUCCCUUCAGAAGAUAGCAGGCUUCCUAUUGAGAAGUAUAAAGCAUAUUCCAGAAAUAUGGGAUAAGUUGAGCAGUUGCAAGUGUACACUGUGUCACUGGAACCAGAUCCUUCAAACCAGAUCCUUCAGUUCCCCAAAACUGUACAGCAGAAUACUCAGUGAAGGUCCCCAAUACAGAAUGGGUAGAGGAAAAGGGAAUAACUCAGCAAAUGUACCACUUCCCCAGCCAGCACGCUCAUGGGGAAAGUAG
rnacentral:lncRNA from 1 species